rnacentral:rRNA from 1 species
AGUGAACGCUGGCGGUAUGCCUAACGCAUGCAAGUCGAACGGCAGCACAGUAAGCGCUUGCUCUUACGGGUAGCGAGUGGCGGACGGGUGAGGAAUACAUCGGAAUCUACUUUUUCGUGGGGGAUAACGUGGGACAACAUACGCUAAUACAGCAUACGACCUACGGGUGAAAGCAAGGGUUCUUCGGACCUUUGCUGACUCAAUUAGCCGAAGCCGCAUUAGCUAGUUGGCGUGGUAAAGGCCCACCAAGGCAACGAUCCGUAGCUGGGCUGAGAGGAUGAUCGGCCACACUGGAACUGAGACACGGUCCAGACUCCUACGGGAGGCAGCAGUGGGGAAUAUUGCACAAUGGGCGAAAGCCUGACCCAGCCAUGCCGCGUGGGUGAAGAAGGUCUUCGGGUCGUAAAGCCCUUUUGUUGGGAAAGAAAAGCAGUAGGUUAAUACCCCGAUGUCCUGACGGUACCUAAACAAAAAGCACCGGCUAACUUCGUG